rnacentral:rRNA from 1 species
CCUACGGGAGGCAGCAGUGAGGAAUAUUGGUCAAUGGGCGGAAGCCUGAACCAGCCAAGUCGCGUGAGGGAUUAAGGCCCUGCGGGUCGUAAACCUCUUUUGCCGGGGAGCAGAGGUCCGGACGUGUCCGGGCCGGGAGAGUACCCGGAGAAAAAGCAUCGGCUAACUCCGUGCCAGCAGCCGCGGUAAUACGGAGGAUGCGAGCGUUAUCCGGAUUUAUUGGGUUUAAAGGGUGCGUAGGCGGUAUGUCAAGUCAAGGGUGAAAUCCCCGCGCUCAACGUGGGAACUGCCUUUGAAACUGGCAAACUGGAGUGUGUGAGAGGAUAGUGGAAUUCCAGGUGUAGGAGUGAAAUCCGUAGAUAUCUGGAGGAACAUCAGUGGCGAAGGCGACUAUCUGGCACAUAACUGACGCUGAGGAGCGAAAGCGUGGGUAGCAAACAGGAUUAGAUACCCGGGUAGUC